AAAAAAAAUAGAAUCCUUUUUAGACUUUGUAAAUUUAUUGCCUUAAAUUUAAAAUUGUCUACUAAGUGGAGGACAUUACAGGUAUUUUACUGUGUCAAGGGAAGUAAGUACAAUUUCUUAAAUCUGAGAGAAACCAAGUAAAAUUGUUAGAAAUCUCAAGAGAGGUUUCUAAAAUUAUCGCUUUUUUUAAUGUGCGAGUAAGGUUGUAUUAUUCAAAGACAUAAUAAGGUUACAAAAUUGAUCAUAAAAGGUGAUGGUUGUUGAAAGCCACAUAAUUUUGUUGGUUUUCUCACGUCUUUUCGUGAUAAUUGUGGUGUCUUGUAGUUCAUAAAAGGACUAGAUGGUAAAGACACAUGGAGAUUUGUAUUUCAUAAAGGUAUCCUUUUUUGGUAGUUCAAUUUGGACAAGUCAUGAUUGUACAAACAGAGAGUAUUCGGAAGGAAAACAUCGAGACAGAAGAAAGAGAAAGUGGUGAUAUAAGUACUGACGCAGCAAGAGGGACCUGAGAUCAACAAAGUCAAAAUCAGCGGCUAAGAUUAGAGUCUCAGGAAUUAGAGGUGCUCAGUUCGAUUUUCUCUUUUUUCUCCCUACUUCUUAAAUUCAACCAUCCUCUUGCUUAAAAAGGAAUUUUUAAAAGAUCAAGAUUCAAGCUAAAUAAUAUAACUACAAGGUUAGGUAGAAUUUGAUAACUACACGUCUUUAGACCUUUUCAUAGAUAGAGAAUUCUGAAAGAUGGCCCUUCAAAAAAUUUUUCUUUUUUAAAGAUCAAGCUAGAGAAUAUAACUACAAGAUUAGGUAGAAUUUGAUAACAAUACAUCUUUAGACCUUUUCAUAGAUAGAAAAUUCUAAAAGAUAGCCCUUCAAAGAAAUUUUACUAGGACUAUAAAUUACUUGUUUGUCAUGUCAUUUUUGUGCUUGUGGUCAAGUUUUGGGUUCAUGGUCAAAAUAUUUGAUGUGGAAAUCAACCUCAACUAGUAAAGCUUGGUUUUGAUAUAUACAAAAUAUUUUCUUGCAGUUUCAGUUGCCCCAAAUCGUCAAAAAUUAUUAUUUUUUUCCUAGAAAUUGUUGUUGCUAUUUUCCUCCAAAGUAGAUAACGACUUCAUCAACUAAUUUAUUGACAAAGAGAGUGUGUGUUGUAUGCAGGGACAGAAUUUGAGAGGGGCGGGAAAAGGUCGCCGACCCCUCCUUCCCCAAGUUUUAUUUUGGUACUUGAAAAUUUGAGAAUUUUCAAAUACGUUCUUUAUAAAUUCAAAUUUUCGUCCCUGCAAAAAUUUGAAAUUGCUAUCUGAUGUAUGCAUAACUUUAGAUAUGCUGAACCUCGUUUCCUUAAAUUAAAUUUUCUAAUUCUAUCUAUGGUUGUAUGCAGGAUGGACAUAAAGCCAUUUAUAUGACGCUUUUACAGCUUCCAUUGCUAAUUUUUCCUACCCAAGUACAACAGCAUUCAAACUGAUGUUAAACAAAGAUUAAGCUAAAGACGCUCAAAGAGAAAGUAUGGUGCAUUUGGAACAUGAGCUUUUGGGCGGUAUACACAGACUGAUCAGAGUAGUUUUAAUCAUCAUAUAAAUCUUCAUGGGUUCCCUUAACAUACCAAGUCCAACCUUAUGGUAAACCUGCUAGAUAGGGUAAGUGGUCCAAGGGUUGGAGUGGGCCUUUUGGAAAAGCUUCAUAUUUAUGUGUCAGAUUUGUAAGGCUUGAUGAUGGGAAAGCAAAGCAAGCAAGUUCAACCUGGCUUGAAAAGUUGUGGAGUUGCCAUGCCGAAGUUCACAUGAUAAAGGUUUGGCUUCAAAUUAUUUGAUUGCA
rnacentral:lncRNA from 1 species